UACGUAGGGGGCGAGCGUUGUCCGGAUUUAUUGGGCGUAAAGAGCUCGUAGGCGGUUUGGUAAGUCGGGUGUGAAAUCUCCACGCUCAACGUGGAGGGGCCACUCGAUACUGCCAUGACUCGAGUCCGGGAGAGGUGAGUGGAAUUCCCAGUGUAGCGGUGAAAUGCGUAGAUAUUGGGAGGAACACCAGUGGCGAAGGCGGCUCACUGGACCGGAACUGACGCUGAGGCGCGAAAGCGUGGGGAGCAAACGGG
rnacentral:rRNA from 1 species